UUUAACCUAUGACCCCCUGAGCAUAUUAAUCAUAUUUAUAAUACCUCCAUAUUAAUAUAUCACACUGCAUCUCAAAGUUCACUUUUGAGUGUCAAUGCAUUGUUUUAUAAUGCACAUGGGUGAUCAUGCUCUGUGAGUUAUGACACACUAUCACACAAGCAAAUCAAUAACACAGAGAUAAUAGUGAAAGCAAUACUGUGCAAAUGUGAAGCACCUCACGUCUGAUAAGGGAACAGCUAUGCACUAAUUUAACUCCAAUCUGAAAAUGUCUGUAAUUAUACUUGGAUACCAUCUUGUUCUCACCAAAUCUUUUCAUUGACUCCCAAAACUUGAUUGUAUGUUGUUGCUGCAUUGUUCAUAUAUAAUCCUACGAUAAUAUAUCAGACCUUUCAGGGAUAAAAGAGUGAUUUAUGAUGGAACAGAAGUGCUUCCUUCUGCCACGGUCACAAAGUUACUCAGUGCUCUGGAUGUCAGCGGAGCCAGAGAAGCUAGAGCUUGAAAAUCUGGACAAAACCUUGCCGAAGAAGAACAAACCCAAACAUCUGGGCAAGUAUGACAGAAUAAUCCAGCCAUGUGUUGCUGAGCUGGUGGGCACCACUUUUUUGUCUUUAUCAGCUGUGUGUCUGUCAUUGAAAAUGUGGAGACAGCGGGACGAUUACAGCCAGCGCUUGUGCAUGGACUGACAGUCACUGUGCUGGUGGCGUGUACGGCAGAAAUCAGCGGAUCACAUUUUAACCCUCCGUUCACCAUCGCUAUCUGGUUAUGUGGUGGAAUUCAGCUGACGAUGGCUGUUCCCUGACUUAUCAUUCAGCUUAUCGGAGACCGGCCUUUACUAUUCUUCCAUCUGAGGAGCAGCUGGGGAAGGCUGUGUUUGCUGAGAUGGCCAUGACGUGUCUAACUAAUGCUGCUGGGAGCUGUCAAUGGAAAGAGCAAAAGCCCCCUUGUGCCCUUCAUGGUGGGCUGCACUGAUUUGUCAAUGUUCUGGCAGAAGGAGUUGUUUCUGGCACCUGUUUGAAUCCUGCAAGAGCUUUUGGACCUGCGUUGGUGGCUAACCACUGGACAUAUCAUUGGAUUUAUUGGGUCGGCCCGAUUCGGGGAGGUCUUGGGGCUGCUGCUGUGUGAGGCUUCUGCUUGGAGAUGAUACUGGAGCACCUCAGCAUGCCAAAACCUUGAUGACUUCAUUACUCUUAAACAGUCAACAAUAUUUCACAUGUCAAACCCAGCAGCAUAUUGCAUUUAAACUGUGAAUAUAGUGUACGUGACUUUGAUAAAACGUGACCAGUCCUUUUUCCUUAUGUUUUGCCUCAGGCUGCACUCUACAGUUUACUCUAUUUCAUGUAUUUAUAUUAUCAGUGUGUUAUGAAGCAUUGUGACUUUCCACACUAUAGAACAAAGAAAGUUUAAUCCAUACCCAACAUGUCUAAAUGCAAGAUUUCUUUCUUUCUUUCU